GACGAACCGUGCGAACGUUGUUCGGAAUCACUGGGCUUAAAGGGCGCGUAGGCGGCAGUUCAAGUCCGGGGUGAAAUCCUCCAGCUCAACUGGAGAAGUGCCUUGGAUACUGGAUUGCUCGAGGGAGGUAGGGGCCCGCGGAACUUCUGGUGGAGCGGUGAAAUGCGUUGAUAUCAGAAGGAACGCCGGUGGCGAAAGCGGCGGGCUGGAUCUCUACUGACGCUGAGGCGCGAAAGCUAGGGGAGCAAACGGG
rnacentral:rRNA from 1 species